GUUUCACGUUGAUCACUAAUAUUUCAUGUGGAUUGAUGAGUUGGUAAUGUCUUAACCGUUGUUACUUUAUAAAUGGACAACAAAGAUUCGUUACUUAGUUUUUUCAUCAAAUUGGUCAUAUAAAAAAAUAUUAUUAUACCCCUCGAUUUUUAGCUCAACCGAGGUAAUAGGUCAUAAAAAAAUUAAAAUGUGAUAAAAUAUGG
rnacentral:lncRNA from 1 species